AGAGUUAAACAGUACGUGAAAUUGUUGAAAGGGAAACGAUUGAAGUCAGUCGUGCUGGCGCGAAAUCAACCCUCUCGUCGAGAGGUCACAUGGCGUGGCGAGCCUCAAAACCGUCACGAAGCGUGAACUCUUGGCGAAAAGGAGCACUUUCGUGUCCGCUGGUUAACAUCAAUUUCGAACGUCAUAAAAAGGCUGGAGGGAUGUGGCUCCUUCGGGAGUGUUAUAACCUUUAGCGGAAUGUGGUGGUCGGGAUUGAGGAUUGCAACGAAUACCUUUAGGGCUGUUCCACCUGGCUUCUCUUUGGUAUCCUGGUGAAGACAGCUUGCUGACUUUGUUAGGAUUCGCCUUUGAACAGGCUAGAGUGUGAGCAAAUUCGUUAAGGAUGUUAACGUAAUGGCUUUAAACGACC
rnacentral:ncRNA from 2 species